UGAGGAAUACCGGUGGCGAAGGCGGCCCCCUGGACGAAGACUGACGCUCAGGUGCGAAAGCGUGGGGAGCAAACAGGAUUAGAUACCCUGGUAGUCCACGCUGUAAACGAUGUCGAUUUGGAGGUUGUGCCCUUGAGGCGUGGCUUCCGGAGCUAACGCGUUAAAUCGACCGCCUGGGGAGUACGGCCGCAAGGUUAAAACUCAAAUGAAUUGACGGGGGCCCGCACAAGCGGUGGAGCAUGUGGUUUAAUUCGAUGCAACGCGAAGAACCUUACCUACUCUUGACAUCCAGAGAACUUAGCAGAGAUGCUUUGGUGCCUUCGGGAACUCUGAGACAGGUGCUGCAUGGCUGUCGUCAGCUCGUGUUGUGAAAUGUUGGGUUAAGUCCCGCAACGAGCGCAACCCUUGAUCUUAGUUGCCAGCAUGUAAUGGUGGGCACUCUAAGAUGACUGCCGGUGACAAACCGGAGGAAGGUGGGGAUGACGUCAAAUCAUCAUGCCCCUUAUGACCUGGGCUACACACGUACUACAAUGGUCGGUACAACGGGAAGCGAAGCCGCGAGGUGGAGCCAAUCCUUAUAAGCCGAUCUCAGUUCGGAUUGCAGGCUGCAACUCGCCUGCAUGAAGUCGGAAUUGCUAGUAAUCGCGGAUCAGCGUGCCGCGGUGAAUACGUUCCCGGGUCUUGUACACACCGCCCGUCACACCACGAGAGUUUACAACACCCGAAGUCGGUGGGGUAACCCGCAAGGGAGCCAGCCGCCGAAGGUGGGGUAGAUGAUUGGGGUGAAGUCGUAACAAGGUAGCCGUAAAUCGA
rnacentral:rRNA from 1 species